AUACGUAGGGUGCAAGCGUUAAUCGGAAUUACUGGGCGUAAAGCGUGCGCAGGCGGUUUUGUAAGACAGUGGUGAAAUCCCCGGGCUCAACCUGGGAACUGCCCUUGUGACUGCAAGGCUGGAGUGCGGCAGAGGGGGAUGGAAUUCCGCGUGUAGCAGUGAAAUGCGUAGAUAUGCGGAGGAACACCGAUGGCGAAGGCAAUCCCCUGGGCCUGCACUGACGCUCAUGCACGAAAGCGUGGGGAGCAAACAGGAUUAGAUACCCUGGUAGUCCACGCCCUAAACGAUGUCAACUGGUUGUUGGGGAUUUAUUUUCUCAGUAACGAAGCUAACGCGUGAAGUUGACCGCCUGGGGAGUACGGCCGCAAGGUUAAAACUCAAAUGAAUUGACGGGG
rnacentral:rRNA from 1 species